ACUAUCAAUUUCAGAUAAGCAACAAAUUUUUUUUUUUAGCUUAAGUAUGUUUUAUUCAAUAUUUGGGACAUAUUUAUACUAAAAAUUUAUUUGUCAUUUAUCUGAGAUUCAAACUUAAGUGGACAUCCUCUAUUUU
rnacentral:miRNA from 1 species